rnacentral:rRNA from 1 species
CCUACGGGGGGCUGCAGUGGGGAAUAUUGCACAAUGGGCGCAAGCCUGAUGCAGCCAUGCCGCGUGUGUGAAGAAGGCCUUCGGGUUGUAAAGCACUUUCAGCGGGGAAGAAGGCGUUAAGGUUAAUAACCUUGGCGAUUGACGUUACCCGCAGAAGAAGCACCGGCUAACUCCGUGCCAGCAGCCGCGGUAAUACGGAGGGUGCAAGCGUUAAUCGGAAUUACUGGGCGUAAAGCGCACGCAGGCGGUCUGUCAAGUCGGAUGUGAAAUCCCCGGGCUCAACCUGGGAACUGCAUUCGAAACUGGCAGGCUAGAGUCUUGUAGAGGGGGGUAGAAUUCCAGGUGUAGCGGUGAAAUGCGUAGAGAUCUGGAGGAAUACCGGUGGCGAAGGCGGCCCCCUGGACAAAGACUGACGCUCAGGUGCGAAAGCGUGGGGAGCAAACAGGAUUAGAUACCCCGGUAGUC